CUCUUCUUCGGAAGCCAGAAAACAGGUGGUGCACGGUUGUCGUCAGCUCGUGUCGUGAGAUGUUGGGUUAAGUCCCGCAACGAGCGCAACCCCUAUCUUAUGUUGCCAGCACUUCGGGUGGGAACUCAUGAGAGACUGCCGCAGACAAUGCGGAGGAAGGCGGGGAUGACGUCAAAUCAUCAUGCCCCUUAUGACCUGGGCUACACACGUACUACAAUGGGAGUUAAUAGACGGAAGCAAUACCGCGAGGUGGAGCAAACCCGAGAAACACUCUCUCAGUUCGGAUCGUAGGCUGCAACUCGCCUACGUGAAGUCGGAAUCGCUAGUAAUCGCAGGUCAGCAUACUGCGGUGAAUACGUUCCCGGGCCUUGUACACACCGCCCGUCACACCACGAAAGUCGGAAGUGCCCAAAGCCGGUGGGGUAACCUUCGGGAGCCAGCCGUCUAAGGUAAAGUCGAUGAUUGGGGUGAAGUCGUAACAAGGUAGCCGUAUCGGAAGGUGCGGCUGGAUCACCUCCUUUCUAGGGAGA
rnacentral:rRNA from 1 species